AUUGAACGCUGGCGGCAUGCUUUACACAUGCAAGUCGAACGGCAGCGCGGGCUUCGGCCUGGCGGCGAGUGGCGCACGGGUGAGUAAUGCAUCGGAACGUGCCCAGUGGUGGGGGAUAGCCCGGCGAAAGACGGAGUAAUACCGCAUACGACCUGCGGGUGGAAGCGGGGGUGCGAAAGGCCUCGCGCAAUUGGAGCGUCCGAUGUCGGGUUAGCUAGUUGGUGGGGUAAAGGCUUACCAAGGCGACGAUCCGUAGCUGGUCUGAGAGGGCGACCAGCCACAACGGGACUGAGACACGGCCCAGGCCCCUACGGGAGGGAGCAGUGGGGGAUUUUUGACAAUGGGGGCAACCCUGAUCCAGCCAUGCCGCGUGCGGGAAGAAGGCCUUCGGGUUGUAAACCGCUUUUGUUCGGGAAGAAAUCCUCUGGGCUAAUACCCCGGGGGGAUGACGGUACCGGAAGAAUAAGCACCGGCUAACUACGUG
rnacentral:rRNA from 1 species